rnacentral:rRNA from 1 species
UCAGUUCAGCACUAAGUCACUUUGUCUAUAUGGCAAAUGUGAGAUGCAGUGUAUGGAACAUCAAUAUUCUAGUAUGAGAAAUUAACGAUUUAAGUCCUUCUUAAAUGAGGCCAUUUACCCAUAGAGGGUGCCAGGCCCGUAUAACGUUAAUGAUUAUUAGAUGAUGUUUCCAAAGAGUCGUGUUGCUUGAUAGUGCAGCACUAAGUGGGUGGUAAACUCCAUCUAAAACUAAAUAUAACCAUGAGACCGAUAGUAAACAAGUACCGUGAGGGAAAGUUGAAAAGAACUCUGAAUAGAGAGUUAAAUAGUACGUGAAACUGCUUAGAGGUUAAGCCCGAUGAACCUGAAUAUCCGUUAUGGAAAAUUCAUCAUUAGAAUUGUAAUAUUUAAUAAAUAUUAUAAUUAUAGUGUGCAUUUUUUCCAUAUAAGGACAUUGUAAUCUAUUAAUAUAACAAAUUUAUCAAAAAAUUGUGAAUUAUUGUUUGUUUAAAUUAUAGUGCUUGCAUUGUAACAUAAAGCAAAUUGUCAUAAAUUUGAUAAAGUGUUGAUAGAUUUAUAUGAAUACUGUGCGUUAAUUUUCCGGAAUUAUAUAAUGGCAUAAUUAUCAUUGAUU